rnacentral:rRNA from 1 species
AGAUUGAACGCUGGCGGCAUGCUUUACACAUGCAAGUCGAACGGUAACAGGCCGCAAGGUGCUGACGAGUGGCGAACGGGUGAGUAAUGUAUCGGAACGUGCCCAGUCGUGGGGGAUAACGCAGCGAAAGCUGCGCUAAUACCGCAUACGAUCUAUGGAUGAAAGCGGGGGAUACGCA